GAUGAACGCUGGCGGCGUGCCUAACACAUGCAAGUCGAACGGGGUCAUUAAGGAAAAAUCCUUCGGGAUUCGGAAUUCUUGACCUAGUGGCGGACGGGUGAGUAACGCGUGAGCAAUCUGCCUUUGGAUGGGGGAUAACAGCCGGAAACGACUGCUAAUACCGCAUAAUGCAGCAGGACCGCAUGAUUUUGCUGCCAAAGAUUUAUCGUCCAAAGAUGAGCUCGCGUCUGAUUAGCCAGUUGGCGGGGUAACGGCCCACCAAAGCGACGAUCAGUAGCCGGACUGAGAGGUUGAACGGCCACAUUGGGACUGAGACACGGCCCAG
rnacentral:rRNA from 1 species